rnacentral:piRNA from 1 species
UGCCUGUAGUGAUAAUUGAAUGUGCUGAAGU